UUGGUCCUACGGGGCGCAGCAGUGGGGGAUAUUGGACAAUGGGGGAAACCCUGAUCCAGCGACGCCGCGUGAGUGAAGAAGUAUUUCGGUAUGUAAAGCUCGAUCAGCAGGGAAGAAAGAAAUGACGGUACCUGAGUAAGAAGCCCCGGCUAACUACGUGCCAGCAGCCGCGGUAAUACGUAGGGGGCAAGCGUUAUCCGGAAUUACUGGGUGUAAAGGGAGCGUAGACGGUAAUGCAAGUCUGGAGUGAAAGGCGGGGGCCCAACCCCCGGACUGCUCUGGACACUGUGUGACUGGAGAGCAGG
rnacentral:rRNA from 1 species